rnacentral:rRNA from 1 species
ACGUAGGUGACAAGCGUUGUCCGGAUUUACUGGGCGUAAAGAGCGCGCAGGCGGUCGUUCAAGUCGAGUGUGAAAGCCCCCGGCUCAACUGGGGAGGGUCAUUCGAUACUGAUCGACUCGAAGGCAGGAGAGGGUAGUGGAAUUCCCGGUGUAGUGGUGAAAUGCGUAGAUAUCGGGAGGAACACCGUUGGCGAAGGCGACUUUCUGGGCUGCUACUGACGCUGAGGCGCGAAAGCCAGGGGAGCGAACAGGA